rnacentral:rRNA from 1 species
AAGCGUGUUGUGAAAUGUAGACGCUCAACGUCUGCACUGCAGCGCGAACUGGUUUCCUUGAGUACGCACAAAGUGGGCGGAAUUCGUGGUGUAGCGGUGAAAUGCUUAGAUAUCACGAAGAACUCCGAUUGCGAAGGCAGCUCACUGGAGCGCAACUGACGCUGAAGCUCGAAAGUGCGGGUAUCGAACAGGAUUAGAUACCCUGGUAGUCCGCACGGUAAACGAUGGAUGCCCGCUGUUGGUCUGAAUAGGUCAGCGGCCAAGCGAAAGCAUUAAGCAUCCCACCUGGGGAGUACGCCGGCAACGGUGAAACUCAAAGGAAUUGACGGGGGCCCGCACAAGCGGAGGAACAUGUGGUUUAAUUCGAUGAUACGCGAGGAACCUUACCCGGGCUUGAAUUGCAGAGGAAGGAUUUGGAGACAAUGACGCCCUUCGGGGCCUCUGUGAAGGUGCUGCAUGGUUGUCGUCAGCUCGUGCCGUGAGGUGUCGGCUUAAGUGCCAUAACGAGCGCAACCCCUCUCCUUAGUUGCCAUCAGGUCAUGCUGGGCACUCUGGGGACACUGCCACCGUAAGGUGUGAGGAAGGUGGGGAUGACGUCAAAUCAGCACGGCCCUUACGUCCGGGGCUACACACGUGUUACAAUGGCAGGUACAGAGAGACGGUCCCUUGCAAAAGGGAUCAAAUCCUCAAAGCCUGUCUCAGUUCGGACAGGGGUCUGCAACCCGACCCCACGAAGCUGGAUUCGCUAG